UCUCGAAUCUUUCACAAUGGACGCAAGUCUGAUGGAGCAACGCCGCGUGGGGGAUGAAUGCCUUCGGGUUGUAAACCCCUGUCACCAAGGAUAAACCGUCGUCGGUUAAUACCCGGCGGCCUGAUGUAACUUGGAGAGGAAGGAGUGGCUAACUCUGUGCCAGCAGCCGCGGUAAUACAGAGACUCCAAGCGUUAUUCGGAUUUACUGGGCGUAAAGGGUGCGCAGGCGGCCAAGUGUGUCUAGGGUGAAAUCCUGCAGCUUAACUGUAGAACUGCCUUAGAAACUACUUGGCUAGAGUAUCGGAGAGGCAAGCGGAAUUCCAGGUGUAGCAGUGAAAUGCGUAGAUAUCUGGAGGAACACCAAUGGCGAAGGCAGCUUGCUGGACGAUUACUGACGCUCAUGCACGAAAGCGUGGGGAGCGAAAGGGAUUAGAUACCCCCGUAGUCC
rnacentral:rRNA from 1 species